rnacentral:rRNA from 1 species
UCGGAACACAGGUGCUGCAUGGCUGUCGUCAGCUCGUGUCGUGAGAUGUUGGGUUAAGUCCCGCAACGAGCGCAACCCUCGUUCUAUGUUGCCAGCACGUAAUGGUGGGAACUCAUGGGAUACUGCCGGGGUCAACUCGGAGGAAGGUGGGGAUGACGUCAAAUCAUCAUGCCCCUUAUGUCUUGGGCUUCACGCAUGCUACAAUGGCCGGUACAAAGGGCUGCAAUACCGCGAGGUGGAGCGAAUCCCAAAAAGCCGGUCCCAGUUCGGAUUGAGGUCUGCAACUCGACCUCAUGAAGUCGGAGUCGCUAGUAAUCGCAGAUCAGCAACGCUGCGGUGAAUACGUUCCCGGGUCUU